GUGCUUGCUUUGGCAGCACAUACACUAAAAUUGGAACAAUACAGAAAAGAUUAGUAUGGCCCCUG
rnacentral:snRNA from 1 species